rnacentral:lncRNA from 1 species
CUCACAAUAUAUCACAACCAUAAUUAUGAACCACAAAUCAUAAUAUCACAACCAUAUUACAAGUCUCAGCAUGUUCAUCAUCAUUCACAUGUUUAUUACAACAAGUUCAUCAAAUCCAAACACAAGUCACAAAUAUAACCCACAAAUCACGCUAAAGUCCAACCACAUCACCUACCACGAGUCCUCAUCAAGGUAGCCUAUGAGACGAUGGUGAAGGAAAGGCCUGAUCACCUGGUGACGCAUUUGCAGGAUGAUUCGAACCCGCGGACGGAGGCUGCACAAAGAAGCAGAGAUUGCAUGUUUGAGUAAUAUGGGAAAAAAUAUUAAAAAUUUUGGCAGCACCUCCCCUAAACAGGGAGGUUUACAAAACCUGCAAAAACAACGGCACGAAGGCCGACAUCCACAACGACACGAAGGCCAACAUACAUGCAAAGACAAGUGAAAAGCGGACUUUUAUACUUACAGUAGUAGCUGUAGGAGUAGGAGGAGGAGCUGAAAACAGCACAGGUACACCCGAUGCUUGCCCAAGACUUUGCAUGAUCACCAUCAUCUCCGCCAUCUGCUUCUGCGCUCCCUCGAACGCGGCCUUCUGUGCCUCUAGCUGUGCGGUUAGUGCCGCGGUCUGCUCUUGGCUUUGCCUUUUUGUUUCUU